UUACGGCCAUAUCACGUUAAAACUACCGGUUCUCGUACGAUCACUGAAGUUAAGCAACGUCGAACCUGGUCAGUAUCUAGAUGGGUGGCCGCUUGGUAAUACA
rnacentral:rRNA from 1 species